CGCCAGCGUGCGGUUGGUGACGCGCGCGCAGUUCUCCAGGCGCAGCGCGCGCAGGCGCGGGCAGCAGCGCAGCAGGCAGGCCAGGCAGUCGUCGGUGACGUGGCCGCAGCCCGACAGCGUGACGGACGCCAGGUCGCUGUGGAGUCCCCAGCACCGCGGCGACCCGGAGGGGGAAGAAAGCAUCGAUGCAGACUGAUGGGGCGAGCAUCCAUCUGCUGGUUCAUCCCCUCAGAUGACCACAAUAGCCAGGGCCGGAUCAGGCGAAGGCCAGAAACUACUUCCAGGUCUCCCACGUGGGUGGCAGGAAACCAUGUACCUGGGCCAUUAUCUGCUACCUCCCAGGUGCAUCAGCAGAGAGGUGCAUUGGCAGUGCAGGAGGUGGGACUCGACCCUGGCACUCGGGUAAGGGAUGCAGGCAUGUCAAACAGCAGCUUAACACACUGUACCACACCACCAACUCCCAAAGCAGAAGACAACACAUGUUCACUAAGGUGGAGACAUCGGAAUCCCCUGUGUUGUUGUGAGAUGGUGCAGCCUCUGUGGGAAAGUCUGGCCAUACCUCACAAAGUCACCCACAGCAUGCGAAGCCUGUUUCACUCCUAGGGAUACACACAGUCUAAAGAACUGAAAGAUGACACUCAGCUACAGAUAGACCCAUGUUCACAGCAGCAUGUUCACAAGAGCCAACACGUGGGUGAAAUCCCAGAGUCAGGAGGAGAUGGAUGGAUAAAUAAAAUGUGGUACAUAAAAUGGAAUAUUACAACUUGAAAUAAAACCUAACACAUGGAUGAACUUUGAAAACAUGUAAGUGAAGUAAGGUAGACAUGAAAGGGUAAGUUUAGUAUGAUUUCACUUAUGAGAUACCUAGAAUGGGCAAAGUGUGUUAGAGGAGAAUUGUUACUGGGUUACUGUUAAUGGGUACCAAGGUCAUAAAAGCCCUUAACCACAGUGUGUCUGGAUGGUAGGCAUAUAAGGGAUUUUGAUGUUGUUCUCUUAAGUUCUCCCAAAUUCUACAAUGAGCAUGUUUCUUGGCAAUAAGGAAAACCAUAAUUAAAACACACGUAAACAUUUCUUUAAGAAGAACACUACCAAGAUAUAGCAUACCCUUGCCAGAAUGAGCUAAUCUGGGAAAAGAUUUGAGGUGGGGAUGAAAUGAGUGUUUCCCCAAGCUUUCAUGGACACUGACACCAGCUAGUGACUAACUUCCCAUUGAUUGGAACUGCUUUCUCUGCCAUGUAACAUUUUGGUACCAGGACCUGCUAUCUUAGCACUUCUAGAACUUUUCCUAUCCCAGUUUCUAUCCCCUUUUCUUUCAAAAACUUCUGCCACUCCGUGUGAGAAUUCUACCUCCAGAGGAAGUUUUGAACAAAUCAGAAUGAAGUUAAGUAUUUGGGGAGAGACUGCCUUCUCCACUGCUUCUUUCCCAUCCAAGAACAUGGCAUGGCUCUGUCUGCCCAGGGUCCAUCUGUCCUUGUAUAAAGCUCGAUUAUUUUCUUCACCUAGGCCUUACCUACUUAGUAUAUUUAUUCUUAAGUGCUACUGUGAGUAGAUCUUUUGCUGAAUAUCGAAAAGCAAUGUUUGGGAAUCUAUUUUCUAUUUGGUCACUUUACUGAACUUUUUAGCUCCAUGUUGAAGACUUACCCAAGUAAUAUCUGACUAAAAGCCAAAAAUUGAGAGCCUCUAGAAAAGCUGGUCCCCUCCCAGUCUGUUCCCCAGAGACAGUAGCUAUUAAAAAUGCCCUUGUAAUUUUCCAACUGAUCCUCUUGAAAUGGUCUAAGUAUGUAAAGAGUUCCUCUGCAAAUGCGGUUAACUUGGUCUUUGUUCUUCCAUGAUUGAUUCUUAUUUCGUAUCUGUCUUUUGAGUGAUAUCAAUUGCAUGCCUCCUGGCUUAAUCCAGACUUUUUAAAUAUUUUUUGAAAGAUAUAUUUAUUUGACAGGCAGGAGAGAAAAGGAGGGAAGGAGGGAGGGAUCUACUAUCCACAGGUUCACUCCCCAAGUAGCUACAACAGUCAGGCUGGGUCAGGUGCUAAUUAAUAACUACAUCUGACAGAGAGAGAGAGGGAAUUAGGGAGGGAGGGUGAGGGAGAGAGAGAUCUACUCUCCGCUGGUUCACUCCCCAACUAGCUACAACAGUCAGGGCUGGGCCAGGCACUAAUAACUACAUCUGAGUCUCCCAAGUGGGAAUGCAGGGCCCCAGCACUUGGGCCAUCUUCCACUGCCUGCCCAGGCACAUUAGCAGGGCGUACGGAUCAGAGGUGGAGCAGCCAGGACUUGAACUGACACUCAGGGGUGCCUGCUGGCUUUGUCUCCCAACUCUAGCUCCUUUCAGUGGUAUCUUUGUGAGAUUUUAGAACUGGGCUUAUUUGAGCUGUUUAAAAUAAUAUGCAAACUUUUAAGCAAUUUCAAAUGCCAGGGGGCCUUCUCACAUCACUUUUCCAUUUUAAAUAAAUACGAAACUUAACAAUUAAAGACUGAAACAGCACACAAGCAGUUCUUGUCAAGUGGACUCAAAACAUGUAGAAAACCUGUCAGGCACGCAUGCAUCUCCUCUCCAGUGAAUAAAGAAGUGUGCAUCAGUCCUGUGAGGCUCAUUACGCCCUGGACGUCCAGGAAGUGCCCUGGACUGAGAAGAGUGGCGAACAGAAAGGGAACGCGGAAUUACUGGACCCUGUCCUCUACUUGUUUAAGCUGACAGCAGCACUUUAACAAAGAUCAAGUGUCGGACUUUAAAAAACCACGUAUGUAACCAACUCAGGACAGGGUGGGGCGGAAGGAACACGGUGCAGAAGGAAAGAAGGCUGAACAAACCAAUGCCUCUGGGUCUUCUAACCAAAUCUCUCUGCACUUAAUGGGUUUUCUUAAACAUCAGCUGUUUUGUUUUCAUAUCCAUGUAUUUAUAAUGAACAGCUGGGUUUUCUUUAACUAAUGUUGAUAUUAUUGCCAUUCUUACUGAAGAAUUUGUAAAAUGAAGUUAUCCCAUUCUGAUUACAUAGUCUGAGGCUACUCAAUUCCUUUAAAAAUUUAACUGUCAAUGAGAUGUUUUUGAUUAACACAUUGGCAUGCCCUACAUAUAAUUUGAUAUCAAAUAGAUUUUCCUAAUCUCACAUAGGCCAAAAGUAGUUUUGGAGAAAUACUCUGUAGCCACGUAUUUUGGGGGUGAGUGGAAACAAUGGGGCUUCCCUCGCAUACCCUCUGCUCUCCUGUUCAGAGGAGGCAGCUCACACUGGCUGGGUGGGGUACAGUGAGCACUGACUGCGUUUCCACACAGAGCUGCUGCUCCAUCCUUACCGUUCAGGAUCCAUGCAGUCGCCCCUUGAGCCAUUUCCAGAGACUACCCAAGCCACAAGCAAGACCUUGUUGCUUCCCUAGUUACAAUUUACCAUAUGUCUCACAAAGCAUAGAAGGCCGACAACACAGGGAAGCCAAUCUCUUCCACAGUAUAAAGUUAUUUUUCUACUAGAUAAUUUGCUUUAGUGUAGCACUGUCCAGUAGAAUUUUCUGUAGUACUCAAGUACUUUGUAUAGUAGCCAUAUCUGGUUGUUCAACACCUAAACUGUGGGACUAAACUGAAUUUUAUUUUGAUUAACCUUUUUUUUUUUUUUUUUUU